rnacentral:rRNA from 1 species
UAAACGACUCUCGGCAACGGAUAUCUCGGCUCUCGCAUCGAUGAAGAACGUAGCGAAAUGCGAUACUUGGUGUGAAUUGCAGAAUCCCGUGAACCAUCGAGUCUUUGAACGCAAGUNGCGCCCAAAGCCUUUUGGUUGAGGGCACGUCUGCCUGGGUGUCACAC